rnacentral:rRNA from 1 species
AGCGAACGCUGGCGGCAGGCCUAACACAUGCAAGUCGAGCGCGUGUAGCAAUACACGAGCGGCAGACGGGUGAGUAACACGUGGGAACGUGCCCUUUGGUUCGGAAUAACUCAGGGAAACUUGAGCUAAUACCGGAUAAGUACGUAAGGAGAAAGAUUUAUCGCCGAAGGAGCGGCCGGCGUCCGAUUAGCUAGUUGGUGGGGUAAUGGCCCACCAAGGCUACGAUCGGUGGCUGGUCGGAGAGGAUGACCAGCCACACUGGGACUGAGACACGGCCCAGAUUCCUACGGGAGGCAGCAGUGGGGAAUAUUGGACAAUGGGCGCAAGCCUGAUCCAGCCAUGCCGCGUAGGUGAUGAAGGCCUUAGGGUUGUAAAGCCCUUUCGGCGGGGAAGAUAAUGACGGUACCCGCAGAAGAAGCCCCGGCUAACUUCGUGCCAGCCGCCGCCGUAA